CCUACGGGGAGCUGCAGUGGGGAAUAUUGGACAAUGGGCGAAAGCCUGAUCCAGCCAUGCCGCGUGUGUGAAGAAGGCCUUCGGGUUGUAAAGCACUUUCAGUGGGGAAGAAAGCCUUGGGGCUAAUACCCUCGAGGAAGGACAUCACCCACAGAAGAAGCACCGGCUAACUCCGUGCCAGCAGCCGCGGUAAUACGGAGGGUGCGAGCGUUAAUCGGAAUUACUGGGCGUAAAGCGCGCGUAGGCGGUCUGAUAAGCCAGUUGUGAAAGCCCCGGGCUCAACCUGGGAACGGCAUCCGGAACUGUCAGGCUAGAGUGCAGGAGAGGAAGGUAGAAUUCCCGGUGUAGCGGUGAAAUGCGUAGAGAUCGGGAGGAAUACCAGUGGCGAAGGCGGCCUUCUGGACUGACACUGACGCUGAGGUGCGAAAGCGUGGGUAGCAAACAGGAUUAGAUACCCCGGUAGUC
rnacentral:rRNA from 1 species